AUUGAACGCUGGCGGCAGGCUUAACACAUGCACGUCGAACGAGUGGCGGACGGGUGAGUAAUGCUUGGGAAUCUAGCUUAUGGAGGGGGAUAACUACGGGAAACUGUAGCUAAUACCGCGUACCAUAGGCUGAGCCCAAGUGGGAUUAGGUAGUUGGUGAGGUAAAGGCUCACCAAGCCGACGAUCUCUAGCUGGUCUGAGAGGAUGACCAACCACAAUGGGACUGAGACAAGGCCCCGGCUCCUACGGGAGGCAGCAGGGGGGAAUAUUUCGCAAUGGGGGCAACCUGACGCAGGCAUGCCGCGGGAAGGAUGACGGCCUUCGGGGUGUAAAGCUCUGUUAAUCGGGAGACGGUACCGGAAUAGAAAGCCACGGCUAACUACGUGCCAGCAGCCGCGGUAAUUC
rnacentral:rRNA from 1 species